AUAAAAAGAAUAAAAAAAAAAGAAAUAAAACCUGGGUUUGUCCAAUUAUCCAUUUGCUUGGUUUCAUCUAUAGUACUUGUUUGUCACUGAAUGUCAACAUGGUCGCUAAACUUCAGUUUGUAUUUGUAACAAUAUGGUCACUUAGCUUUGAUUGUGUUUCACUAAAAAUAAUAUCCUUGUUGCUAGAUUUUGUUAAAAUUUCACCCAAAUUGUUGAUGUGUAGUAAAUAUUUCUAUUUUAGUGCUACAAUAAAAUAGGCUGUAGCCUGUAAGACCUUUCCACUUCUCACACAGAAAAAGGGUAAAUCCCUACAUAAAGCUAGCGGAGGUGACCUUAUUGAAACAAAAUAAACUGAUGUUAAUGAUUCAAGUUGAAAUGUAAUGACCAUACUGAAGUUCCGUAAAUAAAUUUAGUGACUAGAAGAGAAAUCAAGCCUAUCCAUUUCGGUUUGUCCUUUUUAAAAUUUAAUGCUUUGGUUGUUGAAUUUUAUAAAUCUAACACUCUGGUCUAGUGUUCAAAACAUGUUCUGGACCAAAACUACAUGGUUGUGUUGUGGACCCACUUUGUAUUCACCAUGAGCUAACAAUCAACCAAAGUAUAUAGAAUAUCUAUAAAACUCAAGGGCUAGAAUAUAGAAUUUUGAAAUGUGUGUAAUAGCCAAACCCCUAAUGUUUUUUGUGGUGGACCUUUGGCUGCUGAUUUAGAUAAUCCCUCCCGUUGAGAACACAAUGUUUUCAUCUAUGACCUCGUUAUAUGUUGUCAGCUAGAGUAAAUGGUAGAUUUUUUACUAUAAUUCCUAAAUAAGGUUUGAGUGCUGAGAGAGUUUGCUUUAUUGCCUUAAAUUCAGUUUAAAUUUUCACCGACAGUAUUGCUUUCUGCUUGUUCCAUACUUUCCCUGUAAUAUAGGCAGUUAAUGUUUCAAACCCCUGCUUUACUGCCCCACUUCUUUGAAUGGAAAAAGAAGGGCAAUGUUUUGUUUACUUGUUUAUUCUAACCUCCAUGCAGGGAAGUGCUAGGAGACUGG
rnacentral:misc_RNA from 1 species